rnacentral:rRNA from 1 species
CCUACGGGGGGCAGCAGUGGGGAAUAUUGGACAAUGGGGGGAACCCUGAUCCAGCCAUGCCGCGUGUGUGAAGAAGGCCCUCGGGUUGUAAAGCACUUUCAGUGAGGAAGAACGCCUGGUGGUUAAUACCCAUCAGGAAUGACAUCACUCACAGAAGAAGCACCGGCUAACUCCGUGCCAGCAGCCGCGGUAAUACGGAGGGUGCGAGCGUUAAUCGGAAUUACUGGGCGUAAAGCGCGCGUAGGUGGCUUGAUAAGCCGGUUGUGAAAGCCCCGGGCUCAACCUGGGAACGGCAUCCGGAACUGUCAAGCUAGAGUGCAGGAGAGGAAGGUAGAAUUCCCGGUGUAGCGGUGAAAUGCGUAGAGAUCGGGAGGAAUACCAGUGGCGAAGGCGGCCUUCUGGACUGACACUGACACUGAGGUGCGAAAGCGUGGGUAGCAAACAGGAUUAGAUACCCCAGUAGUC